AUGGCGGUGGUGACGAGUUCGCCCGAGGAUGCCGCGGUGGCGACAUUGGAUGGUGGGCUCGAUUGCUCUUUUCCGGCAGGCUCCAUGGUGGCGGUGGUGGCUGCACCUCUUGGUGAUAUGAGCGGCAAUGGGUGGAGUAGUGGGAGGUUCGGGCUUUCUCCGACAUUGCCCAGAUCUGGUGUAACUAGCCCUCAUUGCAGUGGUGGUACAAGUGAGUGUUCGAGCGAAAGUUUCACGCUUGGAGCCGGUGAUGACUGCGCCCAUGUUGUCGUUCUCUUCAUGAUGUUACAUGUUGUCGUCGAUCUCGACCUUGUGUUAGGCCUCCGGGUGAAAACCAUUGCCUUCUUGCUCGGACUUGGCAAUGGCGACGCUACGUGUCUUCACCCUCCUGAGGCAUUGUUGUGGAGCCCAUGCAUCAUCGAUCGGGCCUCGAGGAGGUGUUAG
rnacentral:rRNA from 1 species